GAGCGUGGGAAGACUCCAGAAUCCACUCUGGCUGGAAUCCGGUGGAUACAGCAGUGUUACAGAACAGUUCUCCACAGUCGCUGUCCACAUGGGUCAGUGGGACCAAGCAGCACUCUGCUAAUGUGAGACUCUGACCAGCAACAUCCAGCAAGACCCAGGCAGCGUUUUCUAUCUCCCAGCUGGUGUUUUUUUGUUUGUCUGUGACUGGAGAGUCAGAUUUUUGUUGAGGCUGGAGGAACAGACUCACACUUGCAGAGGUUAAUACACUCUACUGAUCCCUGAUGGGAGAAUCAUCACCUCUGCCAACAAAGAAGCCUGGUGGAUAUUUGUUUGCAGUCUGAUGAUGGGACAUCAUGCUCUGCAUCUUCAAAGUUUGUCUCUUGAUUAUUAUUCAUACACAGUAAUGUGAAGUAUGCUCAUAUCUAGUAUAACUGGACCAACCUGGUGCUCUUCAUUUAUGGAGGCUGUUGAGUCUGAAUGUUGGAUGUUGUGUAUCUCGUGUUCUCUGGGCUUUGUUGUCCUCAGUCUUUUUGCAGGAUCAGAAAACAAAACCAGGAGGCGCGUAAAUGUUUCUUCUCCAAUUGGAUGAUGAUAAGACUGUGACAUGGGAUGCCACCUUUAGUCUUGUGAUGAAGCAAAGCUCAGGAAGAAGUGUGAUUAAAUGGUACCCACGUGUGCUGCUGAGAAGGAUGUACAGGGGCACCUGCAGCCAAAUCCAAGCCUCCUCAGCAGCUUCAGGUCUGUCAGCGUGCUGAGGUCACAGAAACAAGAAAAGCAGCUUCAGACUUCAGAGUGUUGUUUACAGUUUUCUGUCAUCAUGAUCUCCCCUGAAGUUUAUCACUAUUAUACAAGCAUUGCAAUUGUUAAAUGAAAUAUACAUAUAUAUAUAUAUAUAUGUAUAUAUAUAUAUAUUCUGAUCUAUGCUACUGAUCUAUGCUCACACAUGGUGAUGGUGUGGAGAGACGGUGGUGUUUCCUCAGAAGAACCAGCAGAGUCACAAAGGGCACGAGUCCAUCUCACCACCUUGACUUGCUGACUGAUGCUCGUCUGCACUGCACAGAGGAAAUCAACUGACCGAGGUAAAUCUCCAGUUUCUGAGUGAGGGAGAGAGGAGUCAUCAUCCAGGUAAAGUGACGUGGAUCAGUGGAUACACUUGUCUCCCCUUUAAAGGAGAUACUCUUAGAGAGAGACGAUCCGAGUCAUCAUAAAAUAUGGGCAGGAUAUCACUAUUAGACUGUCUAACCUGCCGGAGCAGCACUGAAUGAUCACCACACAUGAUCAGUUCCUGCAACAUUCAGCAGCUCUGCUUUUGUGUCGAAUGUCAAACAGCUGGAGAGGAAACUACACCAGUGUACUGGGAUGUUUCACCAACACGUGCCAGACGCUGUUCCUUCAUGGUGACAUCACCAGAGACAGCCCCGCCCACCUCAGGACCUCGCCAUUGAUCAUGAUGAUUAUAAUGAUGACAGCGAGCGGAACUAAAACUGUAAAAAUCCACGACCAGAAUGUUUAGAUGCUUUCUAAUUAUAAAUGAAUACUGAGAGCCUCUUUCUGUGUUUUGUCUGUUUUGGGGUUUUUUUUUUACCUCAUUUGUUACUAACAAAGUUCAACAAACUCACACAGUUUACAUUCUGUAUGUUUCCAUCUUUACCAGCCACAGUCUAACUGCAAUUAAGCAAAUAAUCCUUAGAAAUCGUCGUUUUUUUCUUUUGUAAUUGAUGAUAAUUCAGUGAAUAUACUGCGCUGCUUCCUUUUGUUUCGUCACACAUUGCUUUAAGUUUUUCAGUGUCCAGUUAUUUUUUUACUGCUGUUUGAAUUCUCUGCAUGUUUGACCCUGUAGACUGUUUGAUGGACUGCUUGUCUUCCUGUUUGUAACCGCCGCCUGUUUUUGACUAAAGAUUUGGAUUUGUGACUUUAA